rnacentral:tRNA from 18 species
GGGUUGUUAGCUCAGUCGGCAGAGCAGUUGACUCUUAAUCAAUUGGCCCGGGGUUCGAGCCCCCGACAACCCACCA